UACGUAGGGUGCAAGCGUUGUCCGGAAUUAUUGGGCGUAAAGAGCUCGUAGGCGGUCUGUCGCGUCGGGGGUGAAAACCCAGGGCUCAACCCUGGGCCUGCAUUCGAUACGGGCAGACUAGAGUUCGGUAGGGGAGACUGGAAUUCCUGGUGUAGCGGUGAAAUGCGCAGAUAUCAGGAGGAACACCGGUGGCGAAGGCGGUUCUCUGGGCAUGACCUGACGCUGAGGAGCGAAAGUGUGGGGAGCGAACAGG
rnacentral:rRNA from 1 species